CUCGAGUGGCGAACGGGUGAGUAACACGUGGGUGAUCUGCCCUGCACUUCGGGAUAAGCUUGGGAAACUGGGUCUAAUACCGGAUAGGAACCAUCUUUAGUGUGGUGGUUGGAAAGUUUUUUCGGUGUAGGAUGAGCUCGCGGCCUAUCAGCUUGUUGGUGGGGUAAUGGCCUACCAAGGCGGCGACGGGUAGCCGGCCCGAGAGGGUGUACGGCCACAUUGGGACUGAGAUACGGCCCAGACUCCUACGGGAGGCAGCAGUGGGGAAUAUUGCACAAUGGGCGCAAGCCUGAUGCAGCGACGCCGCGUGGGGGAUGAAUGCCUUCGGGUUGUAAACUCCUUUCGCUAGGGACGAAGCUUUUUGUGACGGUACCUAGAUAAGAAGCACCGGCUAACUACGUGCCAGCAGCCGCGGUAAUACGUAGGGUGCGAGCGUUGUCCGGAAUUACUGGGCGUAAAGGGCUCGUAGGUGGUUUGUCGCGUCGUCUGUGAAAUUCUGGGGCUUAACUCCGGGCGUGCAGGCGAUACGGGCAUAACUUGAGUGCUGUAGGGGUAACUGGAAUUCCUGGUGUAGCGGUGAAAUGCGCAGAUAUCAGGAGGAACACCGAUGGCGAAGGCAGGUUACUGGGCAGUU
rnacentral:rRNA from 1 species